rnacentral:rRNA from 1 species
AACGCGAAGAACCUUACCUGGGUUGAACUACGCAGGAAAAGCCGUAGAGAUACGGUGUCCGAAAGGGCCUGCGAUAGGUGGUGCAUGGCUGUCGUCAGCUCGUGUCGUGAGAUGUUGGGUUAAGUCCCGCAACGAGCGCAACCCUUGUCCUGUGUUGCCAGCGGGUAAUGCCGGGGACUCGCAGGAGACUGCCGGGGUCAACUCGGAGGAAGGUGGGGAUGAAGUCAAGUCAUCAUGCCCCUUACGUCCAGGGCUGCACACAUGCUACAAUGGCCGGUACAAAGGGCUGCUAUUCCGCGAGGAUGAGCGAAUCCCAAAAAGCCGGUCUCAGUUCGGAUCGCAGUCUGCAACUCGACUGCGUGAAGUCGGAGUCGCUAGUAAUCCCGGAUCAGCAACGCCGGGGUGAAUACGUUCCCGGGCCUUGUA